rnacentral:rRNA from 1 species
UACGGGGGGGGCAAGCGUUGUUCGGAAUUACUGGGCGUAAAGGGCGCGUAGGCGGCCUUCUAAGUCAGACGUGAAAUCCCUCGGCUUAACCGGGGAACUGCAUCUGAUACUGGAUGGCUUGAGAUUGGGAGAGGGAUGCGGAAUUCCAGGUGUAGCGGUGAAAUGCGUAGAUAUCUGGAGGAACACCGGUGGCGAAGGCGGCAUCCUGGACCAACACUGACGCUGAGGAGCGAAAGCCAGGGGAGCAAACGGG